rnacentral:tmRNA from 1 species
GGGCGUGUUUUUAGAUUCGCUGGGUGAGGUCGGUUGUAUGGUAAGCGUGCCACAGGCUCGGCUGUGUAAAAACGGAAACUUAAAUUUAAACGCUAACAAUAAUAGCACAAGCAAUUUUGCUUACGCUGCUUAAUUAACGCAGCUCGUCGUCCCUGCAUACCGCAUGGCAGGUUAACGGCGUCAUAAUAUGCGGUAAAAUGUCGGUAGGUUUUGCGUUGCCUGUCGUCGUAGAUUAAACGCAUUGCUCUUUUGUUAUUGUGUCAUUUCAAGCACAAAAGGGGACAACAAAAAAAUGACUGCGCACGGAGAAGGCUGUAUGGUUGCUCGUCCAUACGUGGGUGCAAGUCCCAUCACGUCCACCA